CCUUUGUAUAGCCAAUUAUUUCAGCGUGACAAAUAUAUUAUUUUCGAGUCUCGUAUUGUUACGAUGCCGCGACCGUGACAUUCCUUGUUGUUUUUCGCUGCCGAUCAGCUGGCGAUCAGCUACCGAUCAGCUGAUUCGCACUCAAAUAAACAUACCUUGCUCCCCGUUUUUCACCCUUACGACGGGGAAUUCUUGUCUCUCGACACCUCGUCAACGUCAGUCGAGCUGAGCUCUCUGAUCAAGCAAGGUUGUCGCGCGAAGGCUAUGUAUCUCGAAUUCAGUUUUUGUCUCCAUCUCAAUUGUGUGUUUCUCAAAUAAACUCUUAAAGGAUCAAAUCAGUUUGUCAUCUCUCUUAAGCAGUGAUCUUUCAUCUUUCCUCUAUCCUAUCGUUCGGUUAAUUUUGAUGUCUCCAGUGAGAACGUGGAUUUUCAUACAGUUCAUGUGCGAAUCCCGGGAUCUUUGAAAACCUCUAACUAUCUCGCGUAAACAGAGUACACUCGUCAGAUAUUGUCGCAACUAAGUUUUCACUAAGUUUUCUUUUCAUUCAACCCUUUCUCGAAGUGCAAAUUGGAUAUAAUCACAUCAACUGCCCAUAGAAUUAUCUGUGGAAAC